rnacentral:rRNA from 1 species
GACGUAGGGUGCAAGCGUUAAUCGGAAUUACUGGGCGUAAAGCGUGCGCAGGCGGUUAUAUAAGACAGAUGUGAAAUCCCCGGGCUCAACCUGGGAAUUGCAUUUGUGACUGCACGGCUAGAGUGUGUCAGAGGGGGGUAGAAUUCCACGUGUAGCAGUGAAAUGCGUAGAGAUGCGGAGGAACACCGAUGGCCGAAGGCAGCCCCCUGGGCCGACACUAACGCUCGAGGCACGAAAGCGUGGGGAGCAAACAGG